rnacentral:rRNA from 1 species
AAUCAACGCUGGCGGCGUGCCUCAGACAUGCAAGUCGAACGCGAAAGGCUCCUUCGGGAGCCCGGUAGAGUGGCGCACGGGUGAGUAACACGUAGGUAAUUUGCCUUCGGGUGGGGAAUAACUCAGGGAAACUUGAGCUAAUACCGCAUAAUGCAGCGGCUCGACAUCGAGACAGUUGUUAAAGCGGGGGAUUCGUAAGAACCUCGCGCCUGAAGAGAAGCCUGCGGCAGAUUAGCUAGUUGGUAGGGUAAUGGCCUACCAAGGCGACGAUCUGUAACCGGCCUGAGAGGGCGGUCGGUCACACUGACACUGACAUACGGGUCAGACUCCUACGGGAGGCAGCAGUCGGGAA